CACCUCUCAGGGUCAUACCUGGAGAGUUCCAGUACUCUACCAGUCUCGGCCGUGGGAGGGAGAGUCAUGCAGAGACAUAUCCAUUCCAUUCCUAGCUUGGACAGUGGCUAGUGAUUGGAAGACCAUCUGCCACAAGU